GGGUCAUCUUGCGCCGAAUUGCGCAUGUACAGGCAUUCAAAUCAACGGCAGUCUUUCGAUAUAAACGUGUUUUUGACGAAAAUUAAAACGUGUCAGUUUAUCACUUUCACGAGGUUGGCGUAGUAACAUGUUCAACUACUUAGGAAACUAGCUCGAAUCUAGGUUUUGUCUUUUGGUUUCGAGAAAAUUAACAACUGAGGUAGAUAUUUUCACUUCUCUCAUUGACUUCUCAAGCUCCAAACCCCGGCAUGUUCUGUUUAGUCUAUUUCACAACCGUUCCUGGAAAUCGAGCUAUGCUGCGCCUCUGGGUUUAGAAACUCUGUGAUUUAGUCUAUAAAACAGGUUGUCAGACACCAGUCUACAUCUGGGUAGAGAAACAUCCCAUACAUUCUGAAGUAUGUGCUGUACUUGGCUUCUAUUUUGAACAUCUACUUGUGAUUUCUGUCUGGUUGACAUCCAUCGGCAAGCUUCGUUGACUUAAGGUAGACCAGAAAAGCCACAUCCCAGAAGGGCAGAUGAGCAGCAACGCUGACUAGAAGCACCCGCUGCUGUUACUUUACAAAUGUUUUGAAUUAAAAUAAACGUGUAUCUACACACUGAAGAAGGCUGUAAAGCCGGAAAAUCUGUACACUAUCCCUGAUGCAGUAAAAAUAAUUAAACAUAAAAUGAUGAAGUAA